CUGUAUCGGUAAGAAUAAAUACAUACGCCAUUUUGUUGACGGGGAACCUGUUCAAACUAUGUAGUGAUGUUGUAGAAGAAACAAAUACUUAAGUAUGAAUCAGUAUCCUGGGUUUGUCCCCAUGAUGAUGCCCCAGCACUUCAUGGUGGCGAUGCCAGGGAUGCCCCUCCAGGGGAUCCAGACCCCACAUCCAGGUAUCCCGCAGAUGAUACCCCCCGGUGUUGCUGUAGCCCAUGCAGGGGGCAUGGCGCCAGUGUCUACUACCAUGGCUCAGGGCAUCCCCCUUGCGGCCAGACAAGCACCACCAGGUCUCAAUGCUCUUGCUGCCUUACCAGACCAGAGACAGUUUGUCGAUGCCAGGGCUAACCAUUGUUUCCCUGGUCUGGCAGUCCCUGCGAUGCCUGUUGAGGACAUUGUAGAGGAGGAGCCACCUAUCCCCGCAGAAUCAAUCACAGUCUUGGAUGAAUUCAACUCGGACCUCAACCUUGUCAUAGACAGUGAAGGGUAUGGUGCUCACACACUGAACCAGCCCAGUGGCUUCUGCUUCACAUGGUCAGGGGUACGAGCCUCGCACGGUAUCUGCAAGGGGAAAGGUUUCUUUGAGGUCCACAUCACAGAGCACCUGCCAGUGGACUUUGGUGAUGACCACAAUGAAACUGACCCUCACAUCAUCCGAGUUGGCUGGUCAAUAGAUUCAUCGUCAUUCCAGUUAGGAGAAGAACCUUGGUCUUAUGGUUACGGUGGUACUGGCAAAUUUUCAACAAAUAAUAAAUUCUCCAAUUAUGGUGAAAAAUUUGAGGUUGGGGAUGUCAUCGGUGCCAUGUUGGACUUAGAUGACCGUCCAGCUAAAAUCUCCUACAUGAAGAAUGGCCGAUAUUUAGGGGUAGCUAUCCCACUUCACAGCUACCCUGUGGGUAACAAAGACAUGGCGCUGUUCCCGCACAUUCUGUCCAAAAACUGUAGAUUUCAAGUGAAUCUUGGUCAGAUCGACCCUUGGUUUCCGCCUCCUGCCAUGUAUCAAUACAUCGGUCAGACUACAGACAAAGUUAGGGGCAUGAAAGAGCCAGAGAAAAUCUCUGAUUGUGAGAUGAUAAUGAUUGUGGGACUGCCAGGUGCAGGAAAGACAACAUGGGGACUGAACAUGUACAAGAACCAUCCUGAGAAACGAUACAACAUUAUUGGUACAGACACCUUGAUAGAGAAGAUGAGGGUGAUGGGCCUGCCAAGGAAGCGGAACUACCACGGACGUUGGGAAGUUCUCAUCAACAAGGCAUCGCAAUGUCUCAACAAACUCUUCACCAUUGCUGGGAAGAGAAAGAGAAACUACAUCUUAGACCAGACAAACGUGUACCCAUCUGCCAGGAGGAAGAAGAUGAGAAACUUCAAUGGGUUCUACAGAAUUGCUGCUGUCCUGCAGCCAGAUGAUGCAGAACUGUUGCGAAGGUCGCACAAGAGGACCGUGGAAGAUGGUAAAAUAGUUCCCGAGGAAGCCGUUCUGGAGAUGAAAGCCAACUUCACCCUGCCGGAAGAUCGAGACAAUCUGUUUGACAGGAUUGACUUUGUGGAGUUGAACAAGGACCAGAUAGUGACACUUGUUCAGCAAUACAACAAGGAGGGCCAGGAGAAGCGGCCACCCAGAGAGGCUGUGUUCAGACAUGACAGCAGGAAUCAGCACAACUUCAGAUCAGGAGACAGCCACCCCCCUCGAAACCAUUCACCCCGGCAAGGUCAGGGCAGAUACCAAGACCAGCAGCACCAGGGGUACGACAGUGGGAGACAGGACAGAGGGUACCAGUCCCGGGGAGGGUACCAGCGAGGCUUUGAGUCAAACGAACCCCCCAGCAAGAGAACCAAGCAGGAGUCGGGCAGUGCCCUUGACUUCAUCAAGGAGUACGGAGGAGGAGAGGAGGAUCCCACGGCCCAAGCAGCGGCAGUGGCAGCGGCGGCGGCAGCGGCAGCUGCAGCUGCAGGGGUUGCAGCAGGAGCAUGGGCAGACAAACUUCCGGUGAAAGAGGAACUUAAGUGGAAUCCGGGACAGUACGGCUGGUCUCAGCAGCAGUAUGGGGACUCCAGAAGAACACCAGCAUUGCCUCAACAGGACUUCAACCAGAUGUUCCCACCUUCUGGGGAUCAGCAACGUCAGAACAGUGCUGGUACACCUGAAGGGAGAGGAGGAGGGGGGUCUCAGAGGUGGCCGCCGUUUGGCAGUGAUGUACAACAGAACUGGCAGAACAGAGAACAAGCUGACAGGAAACCAUGGCAACAGAGUAGUGAUGAUCAAUACAGUCAAGAAAGCAACAAUGCACAAGAUAGUGCAAGGGGUUCUGGAAACGGAAGAGGUUUUGGUAAUCAGCAAAAUGCACCAGGAGGUUUUGGUGGUCAGCAAAGUAGCCUUGGUAGUCAUCAGAGUGGUUAUGGAAGUCAGCAAGGUGGCUAUGGAGGUCAACAGGAGUCAAGGAACUACAGCAAUCAAGAAUCAAGACAGUUUGGACAAAACGAGUCCCGAAAGUUUGGUCACCAAGAGUCAAAGAACUUUGGCCAACAGAAUUCCAGGAACUUUAGUCAGCAGGGCCAGUCAGGAUUGGACAGGAACUACGGCCAGUCAGGACACUCUGGCAGCUAUGGUGGAUCCAGCUUUGGUAGGCAGCAAGAAGGUUCUUCAGAUAAUUUUGGUAGUCAACAGAGAAUGGGUGGGUUUGGCGGACCUCCUUCAUAUGGUGGCCCAGGCUCCGGAGACAGAGACAGAGACAGAGACAGAGAUAAUCGAUCAGAUCAUUCUCCAUACAAUAGAGGAAAUAGUGCUGAAUCUCGUAGGGAUUCAGGUCGAGAAAACUACAACCAGUUCACUGGCCCUCCACCUCCACCACCUCAGGAACCAGAGAGGGACAGAUUUGAGAGGGGUCAGGCUUUCCGACCUGACGAUUUCUCCUCUGACAAGGCAGCUACAGGACUGAAGCCAUAUGAUGCAGCUGGGAGUCGAAGUAAAGAUGGCUCCAAGACUGGAGCCAAUGGGGAAAGAGUCCGUCGGAGGAAGAGCAAGUGGGAUACACCGAGCACGGAUCCUCCCAGUAACCCAGACACACCCUCUCUUAUAGAAACGUCUGAUAUCCUUUCAGCCGAGGUGAAACUUGAGCCAGGUUGUGAUCUAAGUGAUCAGCAACAGUAUUCAGAAGAGAAAAUUGAGCAAAAUUUUAAUAAUCUCUCUAGUGCUAAUGACUCUCCAGAUAAAUUUGCACAAAUGGACUUUAAUAGACCACCUCCUAACAGUUCAUGGAGGAACAGCCAAAACGAACAAGACCAGGUUCAAAACCAAAGUUCCAAUUUUGAGAGAGGUAGACCCAAUAUGAGAGGAGAUAACAUAUCCUCUAGUAAUCAAUAUCGAUCUGACAAUCACUAUGGUGGUGAAGCUCAAAGUCGAGGCUAUCCUUCAAAUCAGCAUGGUGGGCCAGGUUCCCAUGGUAACCCAGGUGUGCGUCCUCCCUUUGAGCCUCGUCACCAACAAGGAGGAUCCCGAGGAGGAAAUCGAGGCCCUCCGCUUAACUUUGGCCAAGGUGGUCCACGAUCAUUUAGGCCUAGAAAUCCACAAGAUUUUGGUGGUCCUCCAGGAGGAUGGAAUCAGAAUCGUCCCCGGUUUGGUCCUCGCGGUCCUGGUACCCGUCCUCCAUUCAACCCCAGAUUUGGUCCUGAUGGAGGUCAGCGAUUUCCCCGUCCGCCUGGUCAGCCAAGGUUUCAGCGACCUUGAGAAGAAGACACCUCAAAACAUCCCAUUACAUUUUACUUGUAGAAUAUUCAUCCAAAUGUUUUACAGUGCAGUCAUUUUAAUGUCGUGUAACACCCAAGGAAAUGAAUCGUACUGCUGUCAGACAUUUUGCAUAUGUACAAAUUCAUUGUUCCACGUUCAGAUGAAGCUUUUUGUGAUUAACUUGUUUUUACUUUGCUUAAUUCACGACGAUGUACAAAGACAUUUUUUAAUCUAUAGGAGCUGAUAUCUGAAGUUAUUUUUUUCAUAGCUUUAUAUGAAAUCUUGAUAAAACCAUUGAAAGCAUAAACAACAUGAACUGUUAAUUAAUGUUGCUUUAUAUUUGUUGAAUUGGUUAUCAUUAGAAUCAGUAUCACUGUUGUUUUGAUAGGAUUGAUGAUCUUCCUGUAGGGAUUUGCUAGCGAAAAUUAUAAAUGUGAAAAUGUAAGUGUUCAAAUAUUAAUGAAGGGAGGUAAUUGAGGAAGUAAGCAGGAGGGCCGUUUUCAUUCAAACUGCUGAUAACACUUGCAGCAGUUUCAUUAGGAAGGGACUGGGCAUAUGUUAUGUAGGACAUAGUGUUGAGAUUGGUCUUAGUACUGUAUCAUAUUUUGCUGAUAACCCAACUAAACAUGACCUAUUUAAUGCCCCCUCCCACCACCUACUCCAAACAUUUUUUCAUAGAAUUUCAAUAUAAUCGAUGACCGGUCCCCUGUCAUCUUUUCAUGCCCCCCAAAUAGUGGUUAAAUUUUGGCAAUCUAACCUCUCCUCCUCCUCCCUCUCCCCUCUCUUCUUCCCCCCCCCCCCCCCCCCCCCCCUAAUUAAUGACCAGUUAAUUGUCAUGCCAAGUACUGCAUAUUCAUGUACCGACUACUAGUAAGGUGACACUUAUACACUAUUACACUAUUCUGUUGUCCUGGGUGUGGAUCUUUGACUUUGCCAGCUCUGCGCUGUGUAUUUUUCUGAAUAUUUCUGCAAAGGAAUUCAGUCCGGUUUUGUCAUCCUAGUGAUUCAACCUGUGGUUUAUUUGUAAGUAUUAAAUGAAACAGUAUUAGUCAGUAAGGAGGCUAAUUUGCUCAAUAUGCUGCUAGUGUGAUCUCGUCAAUCCUUUCCAAAUUACGAUCAAGUGAUGCUCUGGGAUUGACUUGGGAAUUGGUGUGGAUUCCCUUUUUGUUCUGUAUGGUUGCCAGUGUGAUUGUUUUGUUUUGAGUCGGACAUGACAUGCUGUUUCCAUGGAUGGGUUUAGAAAUAAGGGUUUUGUUUGGCCUAAUAAUGGAAAUUAUGGAUUUCAUUGAAAUUUCAACAGAUCAACCCACAUUGCCACAUUAUAAGUGAUUUUGAUAUUUUUCCAGAAAAACAGCUGCAGCCACAGGUUGAUAUCUGUCUUUAUUUAUAUGAUGUCCAUUUGAAUGUGCCUAGAUAAUUGAGGGUUUGAUAGAGAGUUUGUAUUCAGUUUACUCCUAAUAUUUGUCUUCUUUCAGGAAUUGAUAGAUGGUUGAAUUUGAACAAAAAAAUAUUUACUUGAAACAAACCUGUGUAAACAUCUUUGUGACGGAACAUUGCCAAGCAUGUUUGUAUAUUUUGCAAAGGGAUUGAAUAUAUGAAUAUUUAUAUGUUCAAGGAUUGUGUUGGGUGCUAAAUGACUAAAGACUGUAUGCACUUGUCUAUCAGGUUAGGUUAGUUCGACUGAUGUUAGCUGUACACCUUCACUUUACACAUUAGUCCAAAUUCUGUUUGAUUGAACAAUAAAUACAUAUUGCAUAGUAUGUUUUAAUGUGAAUGCAUGUAUGAUCCAAGAUGUGACGUGAAAGGGGAGGGGUAGAUGACUCUAAACAAAGAUUAACAAGUGAUGUCUUAAUGAGUCAGUAUUAACAACCUCAUAGAAUACAUUCGGCCAAUGUUGAUUUAUCAUUAGAUAAAAAAUAUUCUAUACUAAAAUAUGCUGCCAUAUCUCAUUUAUGUUGGGGUGUGUUGUUUAUUUUACCCUUUUUGCGAUAAUUUUUGGGGUAAAUAAGAAAAUUAGCAAUCUUGAAAACAAAAUGCAUUGUUAUCUAAUGAUUAAUUUAUGCCAGCCUUAUUAUAAUUGUAAAUAUUCUGAAGAUUAUUUUCCUUCUGGUGUAGUCAUCUCAGAGAUAGUAUUUUCUGACUGAAAUGAAGUAUGCCGUACCGAAUGCUUGUCUGUGCCCCCAGAUGUAUCCAGGACCCACAUCAGUCUGACAUGGGAGGAGUCCACACAGCAUGUCCCUAUAAUUCAUCCGCUUCCUUGGGAUGGGGAGACCAGGUGCAGACAACAUUAUCCAUACAUACCGGUACCCAUUUGUAGCUCACACCAUCUCAAGUGGAUGAGAUUCAAUGCCACUGGUGCAAACACAACAUGAGACACCAUGUUAUAACGUACCGAGGUACGCCAUCGGAAGUCUGGAGACACCAGGAGCAAUGUCACAGGUGCAAACACAACAUGAGACACAAAGUUGUAACCUACACCAUCAGGAGACAAUGUCACAGGUGCAAACACAACAUGAGACACAAAGUUGUAACCUACGCCAUUAGGAGACAAUGUCACAGGUGCAAACACAACAGGAGACACAAAGUUGUAACCUACGCCAUAAGGAGACAAUGUCACAGGUGCAAACACAACAGGAGACACAAAGUUGUAACCUACACCAUCAGGAGACAAUGUCACAGGUGCAAACACAACAGGAGACACAAAGUUGUAACCUACGCCAUUAGGAGACAAUGUCACAGGUGCAAACACAACAGGAGACACAAAGUUGUAACCUACGCCAUAAGGAGACAAUGUCACAGGUGCAAACACAACAGGAGACACAAAGUUGUAACCUACACCAUCAGGAGACAAUGUCACAGGUGCAAACACAACAUGAGACACAAAGUUGUAACCUACGCCAUUAGGAGACAAUGUCACAGGUGCAAACACAACAGGAAACACAAAGUUGUAACCUACGCCAUUAGGAGACAAUGUCACAGGUGCAAACACAACAGGAGACACAAAGUUGUAACCUACGCCAUCAGGAACCUCAAGAUAUUGGGACACAAUGUCACAGGUGCAAACACAACAGGAGACAUGUACAUCGAGUUGUGACCUACACGAUCUUAAUUCUCCAAGACAUCGGGGACACUACAACAGGUGCAAACAACUUGUAACUCGUCCAACACAUUUGAAGAAAUCAUAAGAAGUCCCAUUGCAGUGACAACAUGACAUAUAUGUAUUGUGCCGUAUGUAUCAAUUGAAAUUGUGACAAUUUUCACCCUGUUCACCUCAGCUAGGCAGUCUGCAUACCCCUCUACGUACUUAGCACUGAUAAGCCGGGGUUUGGGUGGUGGGGAGGACAUGGUAUUAAAAUGACAUAGGUUCCCUUAUUGGAUGUAGAUGUGGUUGAUAUUUAUGUAUUAAUAUUCUGUCCUAACAGAAAUAGGAAACAUGGAUAAGUAUUGUUUACUGACAAAUUAUACUACUCAAAAGAAGUUAAAGAACACCUUAUUCUUUAAUAUUAUGAUAGUUAAUCUGUCAUGGUGACAAAUUAACUAUUGUAAUAUGAAAGAAUCGAGUUUUCUUGAACUUGAACAGUGUAUACAGCAUGCCUGUUUGUAUCCAUAAGACUCGUAUGUAAAAUUGAUAAAUCUUUGACCACUAUGCAUAAGUACUUUUUAAGUAAUCUAAUCCUUAUUGUUCUGUUACUAACCAUGCAAUGAUAGUGUCCCGCUAUCUGGAGCCGAUAUUGAGAACCAAAGAAUCUACAUGUUGCUCUGUCUCGUUACUUGGCCACAUUGUACAGAGAGGUACCAGUCAUGUGUUGCUUGUUCAUACAGUUUUGCACAGGAGAUGAAAAUAAUUUUGGAUCUUGAUGUAAUAAACCAUGUAAAGUGAA
rnacentral:misc_RNA from 1 species